UGAGUUGGGAUUGCUUCUCCUGUUCCAUU
rnacentral:piRNA from 1 species